rfam:Loxodonta africana unplaced genomic scaffold scaffold_108, whole genome shotgun sequence.
CCAACGGCUCUUUUCAGAGCCACCCAUACUUUCAAAAAAGAACUGG